rnacentral:lncRNA from 12 species
AUUCUGGUGUCACGUCUCACCAUAUUUUAUACUCCUCUCCGAUGUAACUUGUGAUGCCUUAAAACAAACAAACAAACAAACAAACAAACAAACAAACAAACCUUACCUUUUCCUGCAUGGUUUAAAGGCACAGUGACUUAGGGUAGUUUCUUUCAGGUCCUCAAAUUUCAUCCUAUAAAGCAAAUCAUAGGAGUACCAAUAAUCCAAGACUAGUUGCUUAAAUGAACGAUCUCUUUCAAAUCUCUUGGCAUUUAAAAUGUUAAUCUUUCUAUAGCCGAAGGUUAAAACUAGUUUUUAGAUUUUCCAAAGAUAUUUCUGAUUCACUUUGGCUACAGAACACUUUAAUUUCAAUCAGAGCAUCGUUAAGACUCCGUUGAAGCAGGACCAACUCUAAAUCAGGAAAACAACUCCGGGCUUUCACAAAAACCAUUCAGAGGGAUGGCAAAGACUUUUCAGGGCUGACAGCUUCCUCUGCUCAUCUCGCCUGCUGUCCCCAUCGGAAAAAUCCAUACCCACAACCUUUCCCAGCCUUUCAUCUGCCUCUGGAGAAUCAGGGAAGCCAAUGGGAGUAUUGUUCGUUUGGCAACUGUGUUGUCCUUUGCUGUACAGAAGCGUGGUGGGCGUCCCUGACCACAAGAGCAGAUGAGAAGGGAAGCCAUAGGUAUUGUGCCUCCUGCCACAGGAGUGGAAUACGUGAUUCACAGUCCUCCUGCAGCAUUAAUCAAGCCGUGUUUACAUGGAAAGAAGCCAAAAGAGCCAGAGCCAAAGAGGUGCAUUUGCAAAGCCAAGUGAUGAUGUCAUCUAGGCAGAACAGCUCCGGCAAGCCACUUAGCUGGCCUAGAUGCCUUGUAUUUAGCUGUGGAGCAAAUCCCAGCAUUGAAGAGAUGCCUAUAGCGAUGUGACUUCGUGGGCAGGUGCAGGUGCUACAUGACGUUAGAAGAAAAAGGAAGAACUCACCUACACAUUUUUUAAAGGCUGCCCGAAGCACAGUUCCCAACGGUGCAGGACAAUACUGAGCUGUCAUCCUGGGGGCAAGUCUGCAUUGUGUUUGUGUUGAGAUGGCCGAUUGUGUUCUUCUAUUUGGCCCUCCACUUGGGAGGGCAUUUCUACAUCAGAAGAUUAGUAUAACGGCCACGGGUGACAUUGCCUUCUUGGGGCCAAGCAUAUUCACAAACCAUACAUCACUGAACAAUACAUUCUCCUACCCACCAGGUAUCUUUCUAGAUUGUGUGAAGCAAUAAUCUGUCCCGCCAUUGUUUCCCCAGAGCAAUUGCUUCCUGUGGCGACUCUAUCGUCGUGAAAGGCAUGUUGAACGGUUCUGGACUGCGGCUUCACGUAAGGAGUGCGAGGGUUAGCACAAUUUGGGAAUAACGUGGCAAGAGACAGAGAAUGGAGUUCAAAGUACAAAAGGCCCGGAAGCCAUACAUCAUCACACAGAGUCACCCUGUGACGUGGUGGCCUGAGUGGGGCCCUUCCACAAUGCCCUGAACUGCUGCCAAAAAUACUGCAGGAGCUUGAACUUCUAAAUGACUGUAAACUUGUCUUGAACGGCCCCCAGACACCUUGGCCUUUGUUUAUAGAAGGCUUUGUUUUCCUCUGACAGCAGUACCAGGAACCUAACAUUUUCCUAGUCGAGUGUAUUUCUGUAGUCAUUGUCCUUGCGAUGCCAGGUUAAGCUGACAGCUUGACAGCUUGGCUGCAUGAACGAAAGAUUCUUUAUUGACCAUCUUCCGUAUCCUUAUUCUCUGCCUAUUAAGGCGAAUUGAAUUCUAUUUUUCCUGGCCAAUCUGGUCCAAGGCUACUCCCUCCAGGAAGUAUCAGAGAACUGAACCUGGUCUAGGCAACUAUACUGAAUUUUAUGGUGAGUCAGGAAUAUGCCCCCCAGGAUGAGAGUUAUGGGGGUUUGGCUGGAGGACAGAUUUCAUGGGUACCAAUUCCGGUGCUUUCCCGAGCUUGCUGUGUGACUUUUGGGUAAGUCAUAACCUUUCUGUUUUUAGUUUCCUGAAAAGUAGAGAUAAAGCCUCAGUGCUUUUCAUCCUUCUACCUCGGAGGAGUUUUGUGAAGGUUAGUUAAUUAAUUGUCAAAGACGUCUACAUAGGGAAUGUGUUAAGGGGAUGUCAAAUAAUGGGUCAAACCAUUAUUUUUGUGGGAUAAUUGCUAAUUUUUCAGCAUCUCCAAGUUUCUGGGGCAGUUGUCAGGCAAAGUUCCCAAAUGUGAUCCCUGUAAAAAAAAAACCACUGAGACAUCAAGGAGAGUUAUUUCUAGCUUCAUUGCCUUCUAUAGGAUUCUAUGUGGGAGUCUGUUCAAUAAUGGUCUUUGAACCUAGGUAAAGUAGAACAAAGUUUGGAGUGGCUUUUGCCUAGAAAUGUGAGCUUCAUUUGACCAUAUCUUUAAGGAUAUUUUCCUUCGAUAGCCCUGCAAAGGAAAAGAUGAAAUCAUUUUCUUUGAGAAUCUGAUUGUCCCCAGACAGGCUAGUGAAGACUGGAAGAGUUGACGGUGUUAGGACAAUAAGAGCUACCACUUCUUGAGCCCUUAAAUAUAACUCCUUAAAUAUGCUUUCCAUACAUUGUCUUAUUUAUCCAGAAAGCAACCCAACGAGGAGGGAAUGAUGGUUUAUGGCCCGAUUCCUCUCUCCCUGUAUUUCCAUGGCAGUCAACUCAACACCUCUCCAAGACAGUAGCCAUGGGUGGUGACACGUGUGGUCAUGGACUUGAGAGGCACACACUGGCUCUUAGCACUCAGAUCUGUGAACCACUCUGACCACGUUGGUGUCAGGCUCUGCGCUCACCGAGAAUGGACAUAGAGUUGAACAUAAAUGGCCAAAAUAUCAGCUGGUCUGGUGGUUCCAGAAUCUCAUUAUUAGAAGAGAGCCAUGGAUCGGCCUGUAUAUUUCAGUUUUGAGCAUGUGAAUCUUCAUCAAACUGGAGAUAUGUUGAGGGGAGGAGCGGGGGUGGGGGGGGAAAUAAAAUUAUAGGACAGCCAGAGCA